CCUACGGGGGGCAGCAGUGGGGAAUAUUGCACAAUGGGCGCAAGCCUGAUGCAGCCAUGCCGCGUGUGUGAAGAAGGCCUUCGGGUUGUAAAGCACUUUCAGCGGGGAGGAAGGCGGUGAGGUUAAUAACCUCAUCGAUUGACGUUACCCGCAGAAGAAGCGCCGGCUAACUCCGUGCCAGCAGCCGCGGUAAUACGGAGGGUGCAAGCGUUAAUCGGAAUUACUGGGCGUAAAGCGCACGCAGGCGGUCUGUCAAGUCGGAUGUGAAAUCCCCGGGCUCAACCUGGGAACUGCAUUCGAAACUGGCAGGCUAGAGUCUUGUAGAGGGGGGUAGAAUUCCAGGUGUAGCGGUGAAAUGCGUAGAGAUCUGGAGGAAUACCGGUGGCGAAGGCGGCCCCCUGGACAAAGACUGACGCUCAGGUGCGAAAGCGUGGGGAGCAAACAGGAUUAGAUACCCCGGUAGUC
rnacentral:rRNA from 1 species